GAUGAACGCUGGCGGCAUGCCUAAUACAUGCAAGUCGAACGAGAGGAAGGAAAGCUUGCUUUUCUGAAUCUAGUGGCGAACGGGUGAGUUACACGUAGGUAACCUGCCCAUGUGCCCGGGAUAACUUCUGGAAACGGAUGCUAAAACCGGAUAGGUAGCAGACAAGCAUCUGACUGCUAUUAAAGUUGCUAAGGCCAUGAACAUGGAUGGACCUGCGGUGCAGUAGCUAAUUGGUGAGGUAACGGCCCACCAAGGCGACGAUGCAUAGCCGGCGUGAGAGGGCGGACGGCCACAUUGGGAGUGAGACACGGCCCAAACGCCUACGGGAGGCAGCAGUAGGGAAUUUUCGUCAAUAGGGGGAACCCUGAACGAGAAAUGCCGGGUGAGUGAGGAAGGUCUUCGGAUCGUAAAGCUCUGUUGUAAGAGAAAAACGACAUUCAUAGGGAAUGAUGAGUGAGUGAUGGUAUCUUACCAGAAAGUCACGGCUAACUACGUGCCAGCCGCCGCCGUAAUAC
rnacentral:rRNA from 1 species